rnacentral:rRNA from 1 species
GAACGCUGGCGGCAUGCCUUACACAUGCAAGUCGAACGGCAGCACGGGUGCUUGCACCUGGUGGCGAGUGGCGAACGGGUGAGUAAUACAUCGGAACAUGUCCUGUAGUGGGGGAUAGCCCGGCGAAAGCCGGAUUAAUACCGCAUACGAUCUACGGAUGAAAGCGGGGGACCUUCGGGCCUCGCGCUAUAGGGUUGGCCGAUGGCUGAUUAGCUAGUUGGUGGGGUAAAGGCCUACCAAGGCGACGAUCAGUAGCUGGUCUGAGAGGACGACCAGCCACACUGGGACUGAGACACGGCCCAGACUCCUACGGGAGGCAGCAGUGGGGAAUUUUGGACAAUGGGCGAAAGCCUGAUCCAGCAAUGCCGCGUGUGUGAAGAAGGCCUUCGGGUUGUAAAGCACUUUUGUCCGGAAAGAAAUCCUUGGCUCUAAUACAGUCGGGGGAUGACGGUACCGGAAGAAUAAGCACCGGCUAACUACGUGCCAGCAGCCGCGGUAAUACGUAGGGUGCGAGCGUUAAUCGGAAUUACUGGGCGUAAAGCGUGCGCAGGCGGUUUGCUAAGACCGAUGUGAAAUCCCCGGGCUCAACCUGGGAACUGCAUUGGUGACUGGCAGGCUAGAGUAUGGCAGAGGGGGGUAGAAUUCCACGUGUAGCAGUGAAAUGCGUAGAGAUGUGGAGGAAUACCGAUGGCGAAGGCAGCCCCCUGGGCCAAUACUGACGCUCAUGCACGAAAGCGUGGGGAGCAAACAGGAUUAGAUACCCUGGUAGUCCACGCCCUAAACGAUGUCAACUAGUUGUUGGGGAUUCAUUUCCUUAGUAACGUAGCUAACGCGUGAAGUUGACCGCCUGGGGAGUACGGUCGCAAGAUUAAAACUCAAAGGAAUUGACGGGGACCCGCACAAGCGGUGGAUGAUGUGGAUUAAUUCGAUGCAACGCGAAAAACCUUACCUACCCUUGACAUGGUCGGAAUCCCGCUGAGAGGUGGGAGUGCUCGAAAGAGAACCGAUACACAGGUGCUGCAUGGCUGUCGUCAGCUCGUGUCGUGAGAUGUUGGGUUAAGUCCCGCAACGAGCGCAACCCUUGUCCUUAGUUGCUACGCAAGAGCACUCUAAGGAGACUGCCGGUGACAAACCGGAGGAAGGUGGGGGAUGACGUCAAGUCCUCAUGGCCCUUAUGGGUAGGGCUUCACACGUCAUACAAUGGUCGGAACAGAGGGUUGCCAACCCGCGAGGGGGAGCUAAUCCCAGAAAACCGAUCGUAGUCCGGAUUGCACUCUGCAACUCGAGUGCAUGAAGCUGGAAUCGCUAGUAAUCGCGGAUCAGCAUGCCGCGGGUGAAUACGUUCCCCGGGUCUUGUACACACCGCCCGUCCACCAUGGGGAAGUGGGUUUUACCAGAAGUGGCUAGUCUAACCGCAAGGGAGGACGGUCACCACC